CGCGGCCUAGCCGGCCUCGGGCGCGUCGGGAUCCCCGGCUUUUCCCGGCCCGGCCCGCCGGCUGCCCGGCCCCGGCCCUGGCUCGCCGAGUCGGCGCGCGCCGCCCCCUCCCCCUUCUCCCGCCCGGGGCGCUCCCACCGCCGCUGCUCACCCUCUCUCCACCUCUGACCUCGUCUUAUUUUCCAAAAAUCUGUGCGGCCCUUCUUCCUGGGUGCCGGGAGCUCUUUAGCCUGUUCCCGGUGUCCGUGACCUCCCUACCCCCGACGCCCCCCCCCCCCCCCCACCUGGGAGGCAGAGACCUUUCGCUCUUCCCGCUCCCCUGCGUUUGGGCACCUUGGUGCCAGCCCUGGAGCGUUUUUGAACUCGGUGGAAGAGCCUUUCAAGGACAAUUCUAUCUUUACAACCCCUCUCACAGAAUCACGGUGCCUCAAUCUUUCCAAGUAACGUGACAUUGGUCAGAGGGUCCCUGGCAUUACCGUUAAAAAUAAGAUAAAAAGGAAACUUUUCCAUCGGGACUGGGGAAUGCUCUCUGUCUUCCGGCCUAGCGUGGAGGGAGCCGUGUGGACUGACCCCAGCAGCGUUACCAGUUAGCACGAGGAAAGACGAGUAAGCAUUGGCUGACGAUUAGAAUAACCCAGGAGCUUCCCCUAGAUGAUACCCAAGUACAAGUUGACAAUGAAAAGAAAACCUGCUGCCUUCACCCGUCUUCACCACCUCCCAGGUCAGAACUCCCCAAGACGGGUGGUCUGCCGGCAUCUGAGGCGCCACGGUCCAAAUUGCUGCUGUCCGUUUGUUUAUUCCUUUCCCGUUCUACCUGCGAGGAUGAUGCUCCCGAAUGUGGACACUUCCUCUGUGCCGAUAGACCAACCAGUGGUCGCCAGACAAGUCCUAUCGUGCUUUCUGAAUACAUGCGAUAUUUUAAAAACAA